rnacentral:rRNA from 1 species
GUCGAGCGAAUCUGAGGGAGCUUGCUCCCAAAGAUUAGCGGCGGACGGGUGAGUAACACGUGGGCAACCUGCCUGUAAGACUGGGAUAACUUCGGGAAACCGGAGCUAAUACCGGAUAAUCCCUUUCCUCACAUGAGGAAAGGCUGAAAGACGGCGUCUAGCUGUCACUUACAGAUGGGCCCGCGGCGCAUUAGCUAGUUGGUGAGGUAACGGCUCACCAAGGCCACGAUGCGUAGCCGACCUGAGAGGGUGAUCGGCCACACUGGGACUGAGACACGGCCCAGACUCCUACGGGAGGCAGCAGUAGGGAAUCUUCCGCAAUGGACGAAAGUCUGACGGAGCAACGCCGCGUGAGUGAUGAAGGUUUUCGGAUCGUAAAACUCUGUUGUUAGGGAAGAACAAGUAUCGGAGUAACUGCCGGUACCUUGACGGUACCUAACCAGAAAGCCACGGCUAACUACGUGCCAGCAGCCGCGGUAAUACGUAGGUGGCAAGCGUUGUCCGGAAUUAUUGGGCGUAAAGCGCGCGCAGGUGGUUCCUUAAGUCUGAUGUGAAAGCCCACGGCUCAACCGUGGAGGGUCAUUGGAAACUGGGGAACUUGAGUGCAGAAGAGGAAAGUGGAAUUCCAAGUGUAGCGGUGAAAUGCGUAGAGAUUUGGAGGAACACCAGUGGCGAAGGCGACUUUCUGGUCUGUAACUGACACUGAGGCGCGAAAGCGUGGGGAGCGAACAGGAUUAGAUACCCUGGUAGUCCACGCCGUAAACGAUGAGUGCUAAGUGUUAGAGGGUUUCCGCCCUUUAGUGCUGCAGCAAACGCAUUAAGCACUCCGCCUGGGGAGUACGACCGCAAGGUUGAAACUCAAAGGAAUUGACGGGGGCCCGCACAAGCGGUGGAGCAUGUGGUUUAAUU